AAGGAGUCUAACAUGCUUGCGAGUAUUUGGGUGUCAAACCCGGAUGCGUAAUGAAAGUGAAUGGAGGUGGGAAGCGCAAGCUGCACCAUCGACCGAUCUGGAUUUUCUAAGAUGGAUUUGAGUAAGAGCACGUAUGUUGGGACCCGAAAGAUGGUGAACUAUGCCUGAAUAGGGCGAAGCCAGAGGAAACUCUGGUGGAGGCUCGUAGCGGUUCCGACGUGCAAAUCGAUCGUCAAAUUUGGGUAUAGGGGCGAAAGACUAAUCGAACCAUCUAGUAGCUGGUUCCUGC
rnacentral:misc_RNA from 1 species